UUAAGCGACUAAGCGUACACGGUGGAUGCCCUGGCAGUCAGAGGCGAUGAAGGACGUGCUAAUCUGCGAUAAGCGCCGGUAAGGUGAUAUGAACCGUUAUAACCGGCGAUUUCCGAAUGGGGAAACCCAGUGUGAUUCGUCACACUAUCAUUAACUGAAUCCAUAGGUUAAUGAGGCGAACCGGGGGAACUGAAACAUCUAAGUACCCCGAGGAAAAGAAAUCAACCGAGAUUCCCCCAGUAGCGGCGAGCGAACGGGGAGGAGCCCAGAGCCUGAAUCAGCAUGUGUGUUAGUGGAAGCGUCUGGAAAGGCGCGCGAUACAGGGUGACAGCCCCGUACACAAAAGCGCAUGUGCUGUGAGCUCGAUGAGUAGGGCGGGACACGUGGUAUCCUGUCUGAAUAUGGGGGGACCAUCCUCCAAGGCUAAAUACUCCUGACUGACCGAUAGUGAACCAGUACCGUGAGGGAAAGGCGAAAAGAACCCCGGCGAGGGGAGUGAAAAAGAACCUGAAACCGUGUACGUACAAGCAGUGGGAGCACAGGUUUACCUGUGUGACUGCGUACCUUUUGUAUAAUGGGUCAGCGACUUAUAUUCUGUAGCAAGGUUAACCGUAUAGGGGAGCCGGAGGGAAACCGAGUCUUAAUUGGGCGUUAAGUUGCAGGGUAUAGACCCGAAACCCGGUGAUCUAGCCAUGGGCAGGUUGAAGGUUGGGUAACACUAACUGGAGGACCGAACCGACUAAUGUUGAAAAAUUAGCGGAUGACCUGUGGCUGGGGGUGAAAGGCCAAUCAAACCGGGAGAUAGCUGGUUCUCCCCGAAAGCUAUUUAGGUAGCGCCUCGUGAAUUCAUCUCCGGGGGUAGAGCACUGUUUCGGCUAGGGGGCCAUCCCGGCUUACCAACCCGAUGCAAACUGCGAAUACCGGAGAAUGUUAUCACGGGAGACACACGGCGGGUGCUAACGUCCGUCGUGAAGAGGGAAACAACCCAGACCGCCAGCUAAGGUCCCAAAGUCAUGGUUAAGUGGGAAACGAUGUGGGAAGGCCCAGACAGCCAGGAUGUUGGCUUAGAAGCAGCCAUCAUUUAAAGAAAGCGUAAUAGCUCACUGGUCGAGUCGGCCUGCGCGGAAGAUGUAACGGGGCUAAACCAUGCACCGAAGCUGCGGCAGCGAACGUAUCACCCAAGACAACUUUACGGAGUUGACGAUUGACGGAGCGAAGCGACGUCAAAGCGUUCAUUAAAGUCGAGUUGGCUUAGGGAUACGUUCGUUGGGUAGGGGAGCGUUCUGUAAGCCUGUGAAGGUGGUGUCGUGAGGCAUGCUGGAGGUAUCAGAAGUGCGAAUGCUGACAUAAGUAACGAUAAAGCGGGUGAAAAGCCCGCUCGCCGGAAGACCAAGGGUUCCUGUCCAACGUUAAUCGGGGCAGGGUGAGUCGACCCCUAAGGCGAGGCCGAAAGGCGUAGUCGAUGGGAAACGGGUUAAUAUUCCCGUACUUGGUGUUACUGCGAAGGGGGGGACGGAGAAGGCUAUGUUGGCCGGGCGACGGUUGUCCCGGUUUAAGCGUGUAGGUGUGUGUUCCAGGUAAAUCCGGUUCACUUUAACACUGAGGCGUGACGACGAGGCACUACGGUGCUGAAGCAACAAAUGCCCUGCUUCCAGGAAAAGCCUCUAAGCAUCAGGUAACACGAAAUCGUACCCCAAACCGACACAGGUGGUCAGGUAGAGAAUACCAAGGCGCUUGAGAGAACUCGGGUGAAGGAACUAGGCAAAAUGGUGCCGUAACUUCGGGAGAAGGCACGCUGACACGUAGGUGAAGUGAUUUACUCAUGGAGCUGAAGUCAGUCGAAGAUACCAGCUGGCUGCAACUGUUUAUUAAAAACACAGCACUGUGCAAACACGAAAGUGGACGUAUACGGUGUGACGCCUGCCCGGUGCCGGAAGGUUAAUUGAUGGGGUCAGCGUAAGCGAAGCUCCUGAUCGAAGCCCCGGUAAACGGCGGCCGUAACUAUAACGGUCCUAAGGUAGCGAAAUUCCUUGUCGGGUAAGUUCCGACCUGCACGAAUGGCGUAAUGAUGGCCAGGCUGUCUCCACCCGAGACUCAGUGAAAUUGAACUCGCUGUGAAGAUGCAGUGUACCCGCGGCAAGACGGAAAGACCCCGUGAACCUUUACUAUAGCUUGACACUGAACAUUGAGCCUUGAUGUGUAGGAUAGGUGGGAGGCUUUGAAGUGUGGACGCCAGUCUGCAUGGAGCCGACCUUGAAAUACCACCCUUUAAUGUUUGAUGUUCUAACGUGGACCCGUAAUCCGGGUUGCGGACAGUGUCUGGUGGGUAGUUUGACUGGGGCGGUCUCCUCCUAAAGAGUAACGGAGGAGCACGAAGGUUGGCUAAUCCUGGUCGGACAUCAGGAGGUUAGUGCAAUGGCAUAAGCCAGCUUGACUGCGAGCGUGACGGCGCGAGCAGGUGCGAAAGCAGGUCAUAGUGAUCCGGUGGUUCUGAAUGGAAGGGCCAUCGCUCAACGGAUAAAAGGUACUCCGGGGAUAACAGGCUGAUACCGCCCAAGAGUUCAUAUCGACGGCGGUGUUUGGCACCUCGAUGUCGGCUCAUCACAUCCUGGGGCUGAAGUAGGUCCCAAGGGUAUGGCUGUUCGCCAUUUAAAGUGGUACGCGAGCUGGGUUUUAGAACGUCGUGAGACAGUUCGGUCCCUAUCUGCCGUGGGCGCUGGAGAACUGAGGGGGGCUGCUCCUAGUACGAGAGGACCGGAGUGGACGCAUCACUGGUGUUCGGGUUGUCAUGCCAAUGGCACUGCCCGGUAGCUAAAUGCGGAAGAGAUAAGUGCUGAAAGCAUCUAAGCACGAAACUUGCCCCGAGAUGAGUUCUCCCUGAGACUUAGAGUCUCCUGAAGGAACGUUGAAGACGACGACGUUGAUAGGCCGGGUGUGUAAGCGCAGCGAUGCGUUGAGCUAACCGGUACUAAUGAACCGUGAGGCUUAACCUU
rnacentral:rRNA from 1 species